rnacentral:sRNA from 1 species
GCCAGGUGUGGUGGCUCAUGCCUGUAAUCCCAGCAUCUGGGGAGGCUGAGGCAGGAGGAUUGCAAGCUCAAAGCCAGGCUCAGCAAAAGCGAGGCACUAAGCAACUCAGUGAGACCCUGUCUCUA